GCUGGGAUAGUUCAGUUGGUAGGGCAUGAGACUGUUGAUGUCCGGGUUGUGGGUUCGAGUGCCACGCUGGGCAAGAUUCCUGCA